CAGUAGCCGCGGGAAUACGAAGGGGGCUAGCGUUGUUCGGAUUUACUGGGCGUAAAGGGCGCGUAGGCGGACUGAUAAGUCAGGGGUGAAAUCCCAAGGCUCAACCUUGGAACUGCCUCUGAUACUGUUUGUCUUGAGUUCGAGAGAGGUAAGUGGAACUGCGAGUGUAGAGGUGAAAUUCGUAGAUAUUCGCAAGAACACCAGUGGCGAAGGCGGCUUACUGGCUCGAAACUGACGCUGAGGCGCGAAAGCGUGGGGAGCAAACAGGAUUAGAUACCCCAGUAGUUCCUGUCUCUUAUAC
rnacentral:rRNA from 1 species